UCCAGCCUCUGGAUCAUACUUCUUAAAAUCAGAAUAAUUAUGAAUUCCAAAAACUAUUAGGCCUCAAGGAUUUCAGAUAAGAGGCAAACUGAUUUCAGAUAAGGACAGUACUGUCCUUAAAACAUGACAGCAAGAAUGAAUGCAAGAUUUCAGUUGUGAUCAUUGGACUAGCUCAAAAUAUCAUGAGGAAGGUACUUGGAUGUCAGUCAUCCCCCAAACUCACGUUUCACUAUUGUGGGUGAGAUGACAAAAUGUGGCUCAAAUAUAUCAUUAGGUGAAUUUGCAGGUGCUCCUCAGGGCAGUCCCACUGUGCUCUGGCUUUGGCCAAUCCAUAGCCAUUAGUUUCAGAGAUGAUUUCUCAUAAGUGGGGACCCUUGGGUACAAGAAACAGAAGUCUGCAUGAGCUAGCUCAAGCCAAAGGAGUCUCAAAGAACCCAAGAUCAAGAGGCAACUGGGCCUUAGGGAGGUUCUGGAACCAGAGAUAAGAGCACCACAGAAAUUUAAGAACUCCCUCCUUCUCUCUUCCCUACUGUAUGCAAAUCCAUUCCAUCCAUCCAUCUGGCUACAGAGUAGCUUUCUCUACUUUGUAAUUAACUUUUUAGAAAAUGACCACUGCCUGAACCCCCCGAGUCAUAUCAUCUUCAUUAUGAGCACAGUCCUACAGGGGUUGGACUUCUAAGUCCAAAUUCCAAACUUCUCAGGACGGGGGACAUUGGAAUAAGUCUUAUCAUUUCGAGAGAGGAGACACUUCAUGAAGGAAGUGGUCAGAUACUAUAGUUGGGCAAGAUUAUUUAAUUUUUCUGUGCCUAACUCAUCCAAGAGAACUCUCAGCAGUUUUUAACACUAUGCAAAAUAGUGUUAAAAAUUGUUCAUUGAAUUCAGCAGAAAGAUCAUUAAUGACCAUUUUGAGCAGGUAGAAGGAUAGCAGGGCUGAAGUUGUGGUACACUGAAUGUAAAGAACAGGAGACAGGAGGUACAGAUGACUCUCAUGAAUUUUUGAUUUAAGCCAAGCAGAUGAGUGAUAGAUGCAAUUAAUUAUUAUUGUUCAAUGUGGUUUAAGUGGCUAAGGGGUGGAGUGGUAUGU
rnacentral:lncRNA from 1 species